ACUUUUUGAGCCACUUUCUACAUUUUCUGUUGAAAGAUACAGUUUGAAUCCGAUGUUGCCAUGCUAUGAUUGCAGUUACUAAUGCCUGAAGAGCAGCUUGAUUCUUAGAACUAACUCUUCAGGCACAAACGUUUACAAAGAUGUGUUUGGUUUGGAUCAUCUUGGGACCUAUGUAAACUCAUUGGAAUUGAAGGUUCAAAAUUCAACCGCCAUACGUAGUCGAGGUAAUCCUGCCACCUGGCGACCAGAAUUGACCUCAACGGAUUUUCAUGCGUUUUGCUUUUUUUCUACUUCAUUGCCAACUUGAGCGUGAAAUCUGCAAAAAUUAGUCAAAUGCGGACCCCAAAUCCGCCAACCCGCCAUCAAGAUUUUUUCGAAAAACUUCGAAAAACCGCCAAUUUGGCGGAAUAUCCGCCGCAUCUGGCACCACUGGUUGGAAGAGCCAAAUGGCUUGAACUUUUGCCAAAGAAGGCAAGCAGGAACAAUGUGGGAAUGGGAGAAUUACUAUAUUGGGACAAACUGAGAAGAUUGGGACUAAACAGUAUCUAAAGAAGUCGAAAGAAUAUGGACUUUCAUAUCCAAAGAGGACUAUUGAAGAAGAAUGGGGGUAGGAAAUAUUUUUUUCCUUUCCUUAGUGGGUUUUUAUGUCAGAUUCUGAUUUACUGAUUUAACCUUUUGCGGCUAUUCUUGGGCAAAACAACGUUUUGUUUUAGUUGUUAUCUAUAUGAUUUGGAACAGGUAUUUGUUGAUCAAAAAUGAAGCAUGAUUAUAAUGACCGGCAUUAUCAUCUAUCUA